UACGGAGGGUGCGAGCGUUAAUCGGAAUUACUGGGCGUAAAGCGUGCGUAGGCGGUUUGAUAAGUCGGGUGUGAAAGCCCCGGGCUUAACCUGGGAAUUGCAUUCGAUACUGUCUGACUCGAGUCUGGGAGAGGGAAGCGGAAUUCCGGGUGUAGCGGUGAAAUGCGCAGAUAUCGGGAGGAACACCAGUGGCGAAGGCGGAACUCUGGGCCGGAACUGACGCUGAGGAGCGAAAGCGUGGGGAGCGAACAGG
rnacentral:rRNA from 1 species